GGGCUUGUGGCGCAGUCGGUAGCGCGCCGGUACGGCACACCGGAGGUCGGCGGUUCGAAUCCGCCCUUGUCCAC
rnacentral:tRNA from 1 species